CCCAUACCAAAUAGAACCGGUUUGCUCACACACAAAAAAAAAGACCAGCCUCCUUAGGCUCUUCAAGCCGCCGCUCCCUUGCAUCAAUCAACAGAAACUCUGUUAUUUUCAACUUUUCCUCUUUCUCAUGUAAUCUCUAUUGAACAACAACAACCAUGUUUAACUCAUCUCUCUCUCACAAUUUUGAUUCACUCCAACAAAAUCAAUCAUGUUUACCAACAUCACAAGCAAAUUAAUUCAUACAAAGAAAUCAUAGCAUCUAUAACAAAAAUGACUCAUCAACGAUUGAAUAAUAGGAUAAGUUACCGUUGAAGGGGAAUUUCGCGGUGAUCUAAAAUUGCGGAAUCAUCGAUGUUGUACAAGUUGCUCGCGUCGGUUGAAUUACCUGCUGCAGAUCGGUGCUUUAAGUUUGUUGAAGGAUGGUUGUUUGCCGGGUCGGUUUCGAUCGGGUAUUCCUUGUGGCUUUACGAAUCCGGCACGGUGGUGGUGCGAGGCUGACGAUGGUGAUCGGAGAGACUCCCGUGGCUGCGUGCGUUGUGGUUCGAAGCUCGUCGUUGUUGAUGGCGAAAGUGUACGCAUCAGAGCAAAAAAAUAUGGUGUCAUCGCUUUGUGGAUCAGAACUGGUGCGGGUUUAUAUUUCUUCGCACCAACAAUCUUAUCAAUUUCUUUCCCAUUCUUCAACAACUAAAACGUUGUCAUAACCCGCACCUUAAACUCAUGGUCCACAUCAAGUAGCCAUGAAAUCAAACGCAACGAGGCGAGGAGAGCCUUUGAUCUCGUCGAAGUGGAGUAGAUGUGUGUCACAGGGGCGGCUGAGAAAUUUUCGUCGGUAGGGAGUCACGAUUGUAGUUGCUUCGUGAACAGGGCUUCGGAUGCAUUCAUCUCUCUUUUCUGUAAUCCUGAAAAAAAGAACAAAAACAUCUAUGAGAGAAAAAUAUCAAUUGCAGUGAGAAUAGAUGUCAUCCUCUUCCAAUUCUUCGAUGAUGUUAUGAUAUUUGUUGUUACUGUUGA